GGCCACCCUCUGCAGGGCGAUUGAUUGGGGGGCUCCGCGAUCGAUUGCUCCGCAGAGGGAGGCC
rfam:Myotis lucifugus cont2.36618, whole genome shotgun sequence.